CGCCGUAUCAGUUAAGAGCAAUAGGUA
rnacentral:piRNA from 1 species